rnacentral:rRNA from 1 species
GACGAACGCUGGCGGCGUGCUUAACACAUGCAAGUCGAACGGAAAGGCCCUGCUUUUUUGGGGUUCUCGAGUGGCGAACGGGUGAGUAACACGUGAGUAACCUUCCCUUUACUUUGGGAUAACUUCAUGAAACUGGUGCUAAUACCGGAUAAGAGCUCCUGCUUCAUGGUGGGGUUUGGACAGUUUCGGCGGAUGGGGAUUGACUCGCGGCUUAUCAGCUUGUUGGUUGGGUAGUUGCUUACCAAGGCUUUGACGGGUAGGCGGCAUGAGAGGGUGGACGGGCACCUUGGGCCUGCGAGACGGACCAGACUCCUACAUGAGACAGCAGGGGGGAGUAUUGCCCAGUGGGCGGAAGUCUGUUGCAGAAAUGCCGCGAGCGGGAUGACCGCCUUCGGGUUGUGAACCGCUUUCGCUUGUGACGAAGCGGGAGUGACGUUAAUGAGUAAAGAAGCACCGGCUAACUUCGUG